rnacentral:rRNA from 1 species
ACAGCAGUAGCCACGGUAACACCAGCACCUCGAGUGGUCAGGAGGUUUAUUGGGCCUAAAGCAUCCGUAGCCGGUUGCAUAAGUUUUCGGUUAAAUCUAUGCGCUUAACGUAUAGGCCGCCGAAAAUACUGUGCAGCUAGGGAGUGGGAGAGGUACACGGUACUCGAUAGGAAGGGGUAAAAUCCUUUGAUCUAUUGAUGACCACCUGUGGCGAAGGCGGUGUACCAGAACACGUUCGACGGUGAGGGAUGAAAGCUGGGGGAGCAAACCGGAUUAGAUACCCGCGUAGUCCCUGUCUCUUAUAA